UACGUAGGGGGCUAGCGUUGUCCGGAAUCAUUGGGCGUAAAGAGCGCGUAGGCGGCCAGAUAAGUCCGGUGUGAAAGUCAAAGGCUCAUCCUUUGAAUGCCGCUGGAAACUGUCUGGCUAGAGUCCGGGAGGGGCGAGUGGAAUUCCUGGUGUAGCGGUGAAAUGCGCAGAUAUCAGGAGGAACACCAAUGGCGAAAGCAGCUCGCUGGAACGGUACUGACGCUGAGGCGCGAAAGCGUGGGGAGCAAACAGG
rnacentral:rRNA from 1 species